rnacentral:sRNA from 1 species
UGCCUCUUUGCCCCUCAUUUUCUCUAUUGAGACCAUGAGCUGCCGCAUCACAUGCGCCCCAGGCCUGUGGGGGAAUGAGGGGUGAGGUGAGCGCGGGGUGCGUUGCAUUCCACCCCCACAAUUUGUACUCUAUCCGCAGGAACACGACGGAACGUGAGAGAGGUCAUGGAAUCGAGUUUUUUCCAGGCUUCAGGCUUCUCGUAUCUAUUAUCUAUCCAUGGAUGCCCAACGCCACAUCGCGGCUCUGAUUCACGGAACGGCAACGGCCCAUGAAACCGCGCUGCUAUAUUUAAAUACAUUGAACCUUCAGGAGAUAGUUAGUUAGUUACUGGGUAAAUAUUAAAUAAUCAUCAAGGUAAACCGACGCCGAGAAAUUGACCUUUUGCUUCCGCUUUUUCUUUUUUUAUACGUCCGCUGCC